ACUUGCCAAGCUGCCAAAUUCAGCGGCAGGAUUUGUUCGUUCUGGCGUCCAGUUAUAUAGGGCAGCUAAAGGCUCGCUCCGAACAGAUGAUGCAGGAAAGCGAUUUCCAUCAGGUUUCCGAAAAGCCGGUCACGGUCGAGUCAGGAAAAUCGAAGGCAGUAAACGGUGAUAGAAAGAAUGAACGUAAAGAAUGGUCUUUAUGGCUUGUUGCACCCCUGUUGUCCAAACUAUCCAGUGCUGUUCAAGGAAGAAAACUUAAAGUAGCCGGCCAGGUUCAUUCCACGCUCGUAUCGGACAGUCAGUUGGAACGUGAUGGAGUUGUGUGACAGAAAUAACGCAUCCAUAAAAUAUUUUCGACAACUGCUUCCAUUGGCAAAUCAGACUUGUGAGCUAAUCGCGUAGCGUAAGCUAUUUUUAUGCGUUUGUAUCUGGACGAUGAUCGGGGCCAGCUGUAUAUCGAUUCCGUUGAGUACCGUACUGGAAACACUGGUACGGUUGUAUGUUUUGAAGGUUGCUGUACCGGAUCGGAAUAGCCAACGGAUUUGCAUCGAUCGUUACCAGCAUGUGCUGAGUUUGCUGAACUGUGUUAAAUGAGGAACAGAAGCGGCAGAUUCAGGCCAAUAAUGCUCGCUUUGAGAAUGAACUGUUGGAUCAGCUGAUUAAUAAAGGAUGAAAGUAUGAAUACACCAGUUCCGUCAACGUCUGAAGUGCCGGAUUCGACUACGACGAAUGGCGUGGAACCGAAGGAUGAGGGAGUUUCGACAACGAGAUCUGGAAGGCUGAUCCCCGAGGACAAUUCCAUCAAAAAAGAGGACAUUGAAGAGUAAAAAAGACGGGAAGAAGCUCACGAAGAGGCUGUUGAAGAAACUGCCGGAACGAUCCAUCAACCGAUUGCCAUAGCUCUCAGUAAACUCUUGCACACGAUCAUUUAAUGUCAUCCAAAUAGCAAUGGACUUAACAAAAUGGCUGAAACUACCUAAUCACGCAUUGCUGAUGUUUUUGGCUUUGAGGCCAUCUUUGCAUUACAAUUCAGUUUUGCUAUACAAGCUUCUUCGUCGGUUUCGAGUAAUUUUGAUCGAGAUAAUUGUCGAUCCAUGGAAUCCAUCCAGAUUUCUGUCAGGUUUCCGAAAAACCGAUCAAGGUCGAGUCACCAGAAUCGAAGGCAGUAAA